rnacentral:tRNA from 1 species
GGGAAUAUGGCUUAGUGGUAGAGUACUUGCCUAGCACGCAUGAAGACCUGGGUUCAAUUCCUCAGUACCA